GGAUCGAGCCAUGGAUCCUCACGCAGGAGAACGCGAUAGAGCACGAAGCCGGCGUCGAGCGCGCGAGCGAAGGCCGUGAAGACUCGGCUGUCGCCGAAGUACGCGAUGUUCCGCCCCACGAGAUAGACGGCUUCGGGAUCGGGACAGGUCUCGAAAAUCACCUCCGCGUUCUCGAAGGCGGCCACCGGGUUUCCCUCGAAGACGGCGCGCAGGCUCGUCGCCAGGCAGUGCAGGAAUCUGGUCGGCCCUUGUGCUUCCAGGUCGCGGAGCAUCUCGAUCGCGCCUCCAGGAUCGCCCC
rnacentral:misc_RNA from 1 species